GGUGGCUCAGUGGUAGAGUGCUUGCCUUGCAUGCAUGAGGUCCAGGGUUCAAUUCCUCAGCACCA
rnacentral:tRNA from 1 species